UACGGAGGAUGCAAGCGUUAUCCGGAUUCAUUGGGUUUAAAGGGUGCGCAGGCGGAAUAAUAAGUCAGCGGUGAAAGCCUACAGCUUAACUGUAGAACUGCCAUUGAUACUGUUAUUCUUGAGUGUUGUUGAGGUUGGCGGAAUGUGUCAUGUAGCGGUGAAAUGCUUAGAUAUGACACAGAACACCGAUCGCGAAGGCAGCUAACCAAGCAACAACUGACGCUCAUGCACGAAAGCGUGGGGAUCAAACAGGAUUAGAUACCCUGGUAGUCCACGCCGUAAACGAUGAUCACUCGAUGUUGGCGAUACACUGUCAGCGUCUUAGCGAAAGUAUUAAGUGAUCCACCUGGGGAGUACGGUCGCAAGAUUGAA
rnacentral:rRNA from 1 species